rnacentral:rRNA from 2 species
UACGUAGGUGGCAAGCGUUAUCCGGAAUUACUGGGUGUAAAGGGAGCGCAGGCGGGAUAGCAAGUCAGCGGUGAAAUGCAUGGGCUUAACUCAUGAGCUGCCGUUGAAACUGUUAUUCUUGAGUGGAGUAGAGGCAGGCGGAAUUCCGAGUGUAGCGGUGAAAUGCGUAGAUAUUCGGAGGAACACCAGUGGCGAAGGCGGCCUGCUGGGCUCUAACUGACGCUGAGGCUCGAAAGUGUGGGGAGCAAACAGG